UACGGGGGGGGCAAGCGUUGUUCGGAAUUACUGGGCGUAAAGGGCUCGUAGGCGGCCAACUAAGUCAGACGUGAAAUCCCCAGGCUCAACCUGGGAACUGCGUCUGAUACUGGACGGCUUGAGUAUGGGAGAGGAACGUAGAAUUCCAGGUGUAGCGGUGAAAUGCGUAGAUAUCUGGAGGAAUACCGGUGGCGAAGGCGGCGUUCUGGACCAUUACUGACACUGAAUCGCGAAAGCUAGGGGAGCAAACGGG
rnacentral:rRNA from 1 species